GCUCCCGUAGCUCAGUUGGAUAGAGCGACCGCCUCCUAAGCGGUAGGCCACAAGUUCGAUUCUUGUCGGGAGCACCA
rnacentral:tRNA from 1 species